GACGAACGCUGGCGGCGUGCUUAACACAUGCAAGUCGUACGGUAAGGCCCUUUCGGGGGUACACGAGUGGCGAACGGGUGAGUAACACGUGAGUAACCUGCCCACAACUUUGGGAUAACGCUAGGAAACUGGUGCUAAUACUGGAUAUGUGCUCCUGCUGCAUGGUGGGGGUUGGAAAGCUCCGGCGGUUGUGGAUGGACUCGCGGCCUAUCAGCUUGUUGGUGGGGUAGUGGCCUACCAAGGCGGCGACGGGUAGCCGGCCUGAGAGGGUGACCGGCCACAUUGGGACUGAGAUACGGCCCAGACUCCUACGGGAGGCAGCAGUGGGGAAUAUUGCACAAUGGGCGCAAGCCUGAUGCAGCAACGCCGCGUGCGGGAUGGCGGCCUUCGGGUUGUAAACCGCUUUCAGCAGGGACGAAGCUUUUUGUGACGGUACCUGCAGAAGAAGCACCGGCUAACUACGU
rnacentral:rRNA from 1 species